rnacentral:lncRNA from 1 species
GCCUUGCCAGCCCCAGCUGAACACUUCAGAGAGCCAUUAACCUCUGCAAAACGGAGUGGACAACUUCCACGUGGCUUUCUGUAGAAAUCAGAUGGGACUGCAAGCAAUGGCAUGGCCCCUGCCAAGGUGGAUCUUGGGAGCCUCCAGAAGGGACAUGGGCAGAGACCUCCCUGGUCUUCCUGCAGCUCCUGCCCUGGAACCUGAGUCUCCCGGGCAUCUGACCAGCUGCACUCCACCACCAGAAGCCGGUUACCACCGUCCUUCGGGCUUUGUCCUGGAGGGUGCGGGGCUGGUGUGGACCACUCAGUCUGGCAGUGACCACCACCCAGUCAGAGGCACGGCAGAACGCACCUGCUGCACGGAUGCUGUUUGAACUUCUUCAAAACGUGGUGCAGUGUUUCCUGAAGACAUUUACCAUCCUUGGCAGUUAAAUACAGCACAGUGUCAAUUACAGGUCCAUCUUCCGUA